CCAAAGGCUCUUUUAAGAGCCACCACAUCCCCCUGAAAGGGCUUGU
rfam:Xenopus tropicalis strain Nigerian Chr03_contig_3067, whole genome shotgun sequence.